rnacentral:rRNA from 1 species
GACAGGUGGUGCAUGGUUGUCGUCAGCUCGUGUCGUGAGAUGUUGGGUUAAGUCCGCAACGAGCGCAACCCUUAUCGUUAGUUGCUACCAUUAAGUUGAGCACUCUAGCGAGACUGCCGGGUUAACCGGGAGGAAGGUGGGGAUGACGUCAAAUCAUCAUGCCCCUUAUGUCUAGGGCUACACACGUGCUACAAUGGUGAGGACAAAGAGACGCAAGACCGCGAGGUGGAGCAAAUCUCACAAACCUCAUCCCAGUUCGGAUUGCAGGCUGAAACUCGCCUGCAUGAAGCCGGAGUUGCUAGUAAUCGCGAAUCAGCAUGUCGCGGUGAAUACGUUCCCGGGCCUU